UGCACGAAGCUCAGUUGGUAGAGCAGUUGACUUUUAAUCAAUUGGUCGCAGGUUCGAAUCCUGCACGACCCACCA
rnacentral:tRNA from 1 species